rnacentral:tRNA from 1 species
CAGAAUAAAGCAUAAACAUGCAUUUCGCUUACAUUGAAAAGAUAAUGGCAAUCAUUUAUUCUGA